rnacentral:rRNA from 1 species
UCGAGAAUUUUUCUCAAUGGGGGAAACCCUGAAGGAGCGACGCCGCGUGGAGGAUGAAGGUCUUCGGAUUGUAAACUCCUGUCAUUGGUGAACAAGGCCAUCGGUUAACUGCCGUUUGGAUUGAUAGUAGCCGAAGAGGAAGAGACGGCUAACUCUGUGCCAGCAGCCGCGGUAAUACAGAGGUCUCGAGCGUUGUUCGGAUUCAUUGGGCGUAAAGGGUGCGUAGGCGGCGGGGUAAGUCUGAUGUGAAAUCCCGGGGCUCAACCCCGGAACUGCAUUGGAUACUGCUCUGCUUGAGUACUGGAGAGGAGACUGGAAUUUACGGUGUAGCAGUGAAAUGCGUAGAUAUCGUAAGGAAGACCAGUGGCGAAGGCGAGUCUCUGGACAGUUACUGACGCUGAGGCACGAAGGCUAGGGGAGCAAACG